GGAGAAGUGGCAGAACGGGAAUGUCUCAACGCUCGGUCAGUUAGCCUGUAACCUGACCGGAGCAAAAACAGGCGUGCGAGGUUCAAGUCCUCGCCUUCUCCG
rnacentral:tRNA from 1 species